AGUGAGGGGCGGGACAAGUGCCCGGAGGACAGACAGAUGGGGCGACACUGGCUGGUGGAGGGGAGGGGCAGGCGAGGAGCGGGGGCAGGCCCGGAAGAAAUGGGGACCCGGCAGGCGGUGACGGAGGCGGCACGCGCGGAGAUGGAUACUGGGCCAGCCACGAAAGCCUCCGCCCCCUCGAAGCGGGCUCCCUCGCCGCCAACUCUAGUGAAGAAGCAGCCCUUCUCCCCGGCGCCCGCUGGUUUGCAGAGGCCUGCUAUGAAGAGCUUGUGCAAGUAAAGCGUUUGCUGAGCGGAAACAGGCUGCGGGUGGCUGCGGCAGGCAUGGAGCCGACGCGGAUCUUUUGCAAACAUCUUUAUUAAUCUCAUAUAAAAAUAAGGUCCAUGGACGGUC
rnacentral:lncRNA from 1 species